GAUCCUGGCUCAGGAUGAACGCUAGCUACAGGCUUAACACAUGCAAGUCGAGGGGAAACGACAUCGAAAGCUUGCUUUUGAUGGGUGUCGACCGGCGCACGGGUGAGUAACGCGUAUCCAACCUGCCCACCACUUGGGGAUAACCUUGCGAAAGUAAGACUAAUACCCAAUGAUAUCUCUAGAAGACAUCUGAAAAGGAUUAAAGAUUUAUCGGUGAUGGAUGGGGAUGCGUCUGAUUAG
rnacentral:rRNA from 1 species